rnacentral:lncRNA from 1 species
UAAGUCUUGAUCCUUCCCUGUCCAGUGAUAACUAUGAGCAGCUAAUUGUAGCAAUCACAGCCUUACAAGGACAAGGUAACCAGGGCUCAAACACCUCAGGGAUGAAGGUCUGGAUCAUCCUACUGCGAAAACUGCCUAGGCUUAGAGUGAGAGGAAUCUAGAAUGGAUAGAAAGGGGGAAGGGUGUGAUGGAUUUCAAUUAUGACAUCAGAUCCAGCUGUGAAAACAGGAACUGCAGCUUAUUCUGUAAGCUUUCCCAAUUUUAGUAUUUUUCUCUUUUUAGAGAUUGUGGCUAGCUACCACCUUGAAGCAUAAGAGAGUAGACUCAUGGGGUAUGAGUGGAUCUGAGUGAUACAAAUGACAGACUGUAACAGAUAUGGUUGUUGUUUCACCCUUUACAUUUAUUUUCCAAGAUAAUCUUCACAGAAUCUUCUGAAGUAGAAACCACUUAGCUUAGGAAGGCUAAGUACUGAGGUCAUACAGCCGCCUAAUGUUAGAGCUGUGAUCCCAAACCAGGACUAUCUCAAUCAAUGACACUUGAGAUAUCAUUAAAUGGAAGAAAGAAAUACUUCCAGAAUGGUGGAAUAAUGACCUAUGAAAAUCCACUCCUCAAAAGGAGCAACAAACAAUGGCAAGAAUUUUCAAAAUUAACUUUUUUGGAAAUUAAUCAAAAGUUUUCACAAAUCUAUGGAGUGUUUAUUCGAGAAAAAUGGCUGAAUCUUGAUAAGGACAGCAUGCUUUGUGACAUUUUAACUAUCCCUAUUCUCAUCUCCCUGUCCCUGGCUCCAUAGUAGUCUUGAAUACAAGCAGCCUUGCAACCACAGCAUCUAACAGCUUUGCAGUCCCUGAAAAGGGCAGACAGGUUUGGAGCUCCCCCAAAACUCCAUGUCCAGAGAUUUAUCAUGAUUUGACCUGUCUGGCAGCUCCCUGAAAACCUCAUUUAUAGAGCUUGUCUUUAUUCAACUUAACUCAGACCUUGCACACUGGGAAACCCCUCUCCCCAGGAUGUUUGUUGAAAAUAAUCAAUGGCAAUUGUUUAGCAUCACAACUGCCAGAGACACUGAUACCAGCUGGGGAUUUCCAAAGGGAAAAUCUGAAGAAUGAGAGGUCAAUAGGGGACUUUGAAAAGCUCCAACAUAUUAGUGGGAGUCUAGAAGGCCACACACAUGUCCAUGACCAGGAAAGAGAAGGCUCUAAUCUCUAGCCUCUGGCUGACCUUGAGGCUCUGUAUAAGCAAGCAGUAAAGGCUAAGGCAGAAUUGUAGAUGCCACAGUAUUGGAGUCAUGUCACAACAUACGUACAGAACUCUGAAAAGAGUGGGAAAUUUAUUGGUUCAAGACAUCUAAGGAAAUCUCUGCCCAAUAAUUAGUUGACCACUAAACUAACCGAGAAGGUACUUCAGUAGCUACAAGUAAAAAAGAAUAUAGAUUUUACAGAAAGUCAGGAGAGUAACUAAGCAAACAAAUAUUAACAACAACAACAAUGAACAACAACAACAACAAACCCUGGAGAGGAGGAGAAUCUUAUUUUGGGGAUUGCAACAUUAUAUUAUUUAAAAUAUCCAGAGUCCAACAAAAGAAUUAUGAGACAUGCAAAGAAACAGGAAAGUAUACCCCAUACAAAGGAGAAAAAGGAAUCAGUAGAAACUGUCCCUGAGGAAGUCCAAAUGUUGGACUUACCUAGACAAAGACUUUAAGUCAGUUAUUUGUAUUUGUUCAAAGAAGUAAAGGAAACAACAUCUAAAGAAUUAAAGGAAAACACAAAUGCAAAGACUGCAUUGUAUGACUCCAUUUAUAUCAAAUGUCCAAGAGAGGCAAAUCCAUAAAGAUGGAAAGUAGAUGAGUGGUUGCCAGGGCUUGAGCAGCCAUCUUGGAUGAUGAGGCAACUUGAUGAUGGCAACUAUGUACUAAGGAUAGAGGAGAAGAAAGAUAGAAAGAGCCUGCAUCCCUGAUGAUGUUGAAAGACUGCAUCCUAGCCAUGGACUGCCUCCUUCUGCAGUUCAUAUUAUCUCUGUGAACCUUGAAGUCACCAGCAGAGAAACCCCAAGGAAGGGCUGAGGUUGUUCCAGUUUGGGUGAAGGUCUAUGUGGCCAGGAAGAUGGGACACUGGGAUUGGCCCAGCCUGGGUCACACAGCCACCUUGGUGGUGGUGUUGGUAGGAGGCAGAGUCAAUCGAGUGUGGUACCAGAAUGGGGCAAGGAAGUGAGUGCUGGAAAACAAAGACUGGAGCUCUCAUAUGCCUCUUAUUUGCCUCUUGAGGAUAUUGAGAAAAUACACGUCUGCUAAACUCCUUGAAAUUUUUUGUACCAGUAAUAUAAGGAAUCGCUAUCAUCAGCAUUCUCAUCCCAGUCUUUGCGGCCUUUUUCUUUCCUAUCAGACUUACACUAGAUUUAGAUCUCACUUCUUUCAGUGCUGAGGCAGCUCCUGGAAGGCCCUGCAAAGCUAAAACCCCAAUCGCCC